GUGCUCACUUCAGCAGCACAUGUACUGAAACUGGAAUGAUACAGAGGAGAUUAGCAUGGCCCCUGUGCAGGGAUGACACACACACACACAAAAAUGAAUAAAUAAAU